AACGAACGCUGGCGGCAUGCCUAACACAUGCCAGUCGAACGAGACCUUCGGGUCUAGUGGCGCACGGGUGCGUAACGCGUGGGAACCUGCCCUUAGGUUCGGAAUAACUCCCCGAAAGGGGUGCUAAUACCGGAUAAUGUCUUCGGACCAAAGAUUUAUCGCCUUUGGAUGGGCCCGCGUUGGAUUAGCUAGUUGGUAGGGUAAAAGCCUACCAAGGCGACGAUCCAUAGCUGGUCUGAGAGGAUGAUCAGCCACACUGGGACUGAGACACGGCCCAGACUCCUACGGGAGGCAGCAGUGGGGAAUAUUGGACAAUGGGCGAAAGCCUGAUCCAGCAAUGCCGCGUGAGUGAUGAAGGCCUUAAGGUUGUAAAGCUCUUUUACCCGGGAUGAUAAUGACAGUACCGGGAGAAUAAGCUCCGGCUAACUCCGUG
rnacentral:rRNA from 1 species